UUAUAAACAAAAUGGGGGAGGCUAUUCUCAUCUGGAAGUAGUCAGAAUGGAUGUAAGCUUGUCCCACAACUAAAUAUUUUGCUUCAGUUUUGAAUGUAAGAAACGUGAAAACAUGAACCAAGCUAAAAAGCUAUGGCCCAUAAAGAAAAUCAUCUGCAGUAGCAUAAAAGGAGCUCCUAUUCUGAGACUUCAGUGCUGCAUAAGGAAAUGUUGCCCAUACUACUGGAAGCUGGCUCCAAUUACUAGCCUUUAAUUGAGAAGCAUGAAGAUGCUGAGA
rnacentral:lncRNA from 1 species